rnacentral:rRNA from 1 species
UACGAGAGGUGCAAGCGUUAUUCGGAAUUAUUGGGCGUAAAGGGCGCGUAGGCGGAUUGUUAAGUUUGUUGUUAAAGACUUUGGCCUAACUAAAGAACAGCAACAAAAACUGGCGAUCUAGAGGGUGAGAGGGAGAAGUGGAAUUCCCGGAGUAGCGGUAAAAUGCGUAGAUCUCGGGAGGAACACCAAUGGCGAAGGCUGCUUCUUGGUUCACUACUGACGCUGAGGCGCGAAAGCGUGGGGAGCAAACAGG